rnacentral:lncRNA from 1 species
GCGUAAGUGCACUGGUGUGUGUGUAACCUGGUACUAUUCACCAGUAAAUCUGUGAUAUUUAUUGAGCCCAGGUACCAUUGUAAUAGAUGCUGUGUGAUGCCAGAUUUAUUGAGCCCAGGUACCAUUGUAAUAGAUGCUGUGUGAUGCCAGAUUUAUUGAGCCCAGGUACCAUUGUAAUAGAUGCUGUGUGAUGCCAGAUUUAUUGAGCCCAGGUACCAUUGUAAUAGAUGCUGUGUGAUGCCAGAUUUAUUGAGCCCAGAUAACCAUUGUAAUAGAUGCUGUGUGAUGCCAGAUUUAUUGAGCACAGGUACCAUUGUAAUACCUGCUGUGUGAUGCCAGAUUUAUUGAGCCCAGAUAACCAUUGUAAUAGAUGCUGUGUGAUGCCAGAUUUAUUGAGCCCAGGUACCAUUGUAAUACAUGCUGUGUGAUGCCAGAUUUAUUGAGCCCAGAUAACCAUUGUAAUAGAUGCUGUGUGAUGCCAGAUUUAUUGAGCCCAGGUACCAUUGUAAUAGAUGCUGUGUGAUGCCAGAUUUAUUGAGCCCAGGUACCAUUGUAAUACAUGCUGUGUGAUGCCAGAUUUAUUGAGCCCAGGUACCAUUGUAAUACAUGCUGUGUGAUGCCAGAUUUAUUGAGCCCAGAUAACCAUUGUAAUAGAUGCUGUGUGAUGCCAGAUUUAUUGAGCCCAGGUACCAUUGUAAUAGAUGCUGUGUGAUGCCAGAUUUAUUGAGCCCAGAUAACCAUUGUAAUUCAUGUGUG